CCGUUGAAAAUGCAUUGUGGUCAAUGAUGUCCCUCCCUCAAUUCCAGCAGCUACCAGUGUGCCAUUCAGCUGUCAGUCAAAAGUGGCAGUUUCAAA